GGUUAAGCGACUAAGCGUACACGGUGGAUGCCCUGGCAGUCAGAGGCGAUGAAGGACGUGCUAAUCUGCGAAAAGCGUCGGUAAGGUGAUAUGAACCGUUAUAACCGGCGAUGUCCGAAUGGGGAAACCCAGUGUGAUUCGUCACACUAUCGUUAACUGAAUACAUAGGUUAACGAGGCGAACCGGGGGAACUGAAACAUCUAAGUACCCCGAGGAAAAGAAAUCAACCGAGAUUCCCCCAGUAGCGGCGAGCGAACGGGGAGCAGCCCAGAGUCUGAAUCAGCUUGUGUGUUAGUGGAACGGUCUGGAAAGUCCGACGGUACAGGGUGAUAGUCCCGUACACCAAAAUGCACAGGCUGUGAACUCGAAGAGUAGGGCGGGACACGUGGUAUCCUGUCUGAAUAUGGGGGGACCAUCCUCCAAGGCUAAAUACUCCUGACUGACCGAUAGUGAACCAGUACCGUGAGGGAAAGGCGAAAAGAACCCCGGCGAGGGGAGUGAAAAAGAACCUGAAACCGUGUACGUACAAGCAGUGGGAGCACCUUCGGGUGUGACUGCGUACCUUUUGUAUAAUGGGUCAGCGACUUAUAUUCUGUAGCAAGGUUAACCGUAUAGGGGAGCCGCAGGGAAACCGAGUCUUAACUGGGCGUUAAGUUGCAGGGUAUAGACCCGAAACCCGGUGAUCUAGCCAUGGGCAGGUUGAAGGUUGGGUAACACUAACUGGAGGACCGAACCGACUAAUGUUGAAAAAUUAGCGGAUGACUUGUGGCUGGGGGUGAAAGGCCAAUCAAACCGGGAGAUAGCUGGUUCUCCCCGAAAGCUAUUUAGGUAGCGCCUCGUGAAUUCAUCUUCGGGGGUAGAGCACUGUUUCGGCUAGGGGGUCAUCCCGACUUACCAACCCGAUGCAAACUACGAAUACCGAAGAAUGUUAUCACGGGAGACACACGGCGGGUGCUAACGUCCGUCGUGAAGAGGGAAACAACCCAGACCGCCAGCUAAGGUCCCAAAGUCAUGGUUAAGUGGGAAACGAUGUGGGAAGGCACAGACAGCCAGGAUGUUGGCUUAGAAGCAGCCAUCAUUUAAAGAAAGCGUAAUAGCUCACUGGUCGAGUCGGCCUGCGCGGAAGAUGUAACGGGGCUAAACCAUGCACCGAAGCUGCGGCAGCGACACUAUGUGUUGUUGGGUAGGGGAGCGUUCUGUAAGCCUGCGAAGGUGUGCUGUGAGGCAUGCUGGAGGUAUCAGAAGUGCGAAUGCUGACAUAAGUAACGAUAAAGCGGGUGAAAAGCCCGCUCGCCGGAAGACCAAGGGUUCCUGUCCAACGUUAAUCGGGGCAGGGUGAGUCGACCCCUAAGGCGAGGCCGAAAGGCGUAGUCGAUGGGAAACAGGUUAAUAUUCCUGUACUUGGUGUUACUGCGAAGGGGGGACGGAGAAGGCUAUGUUAGCCGGGCGACGGUUGUCCCGGUUUAAGCAUGUAGGCUGGUUGUCCAGGCAAAUCCGGAUAAUCAAGGCUGAGGUGUGAUGACGAGGCACUACGGUGCUGAAGUAACAAAUGCCCUGCUUCCAGGAAAAGCCUCUAAGCAUCAGGUAACAUUAAAUCGUACCCCAAACCGACACAGGUGGUCAGGUAGAGAAUACCAAGGCGCUUGAGAGAACUCGGGUGAAGGAACUAGGCAAAAUGGUGCCGUAACUUCGGGAGAAGGCACGCUGGUGUGUAGGUGAAGUCCCUGCGGAUGGAGCUGAGACCAGUCGAAGAUACCAGCUGGCUGCAACUGUUUAUUAAAAACACAGCACUGUGCAAACACGAAAGUGGACGUAUACGGUGUGACGCCUGCCCGGUGCCGGAAGGUUAAUUGAUGGGGUUAUCCGUAAGGAGAAGCUCUUGAUCGAAGCCCCGGUAAACGGCGGCCGUAACUAUAACGGUCCUAAGGUAGCGAAAUUCCUUGUCGGGUAAGUUCCGACCUGCACGAAUGGCGUAAUGAUGGCCAGGCUGUCUCCACCCGAGACUCAGUGAAAUUGAACUCGCUGUGAAGAUGCAGUGUACCCGCGGCAAGACGGAAAGACCCCGUGAACCUUUACUAUAGCUUGACACUGAACAUUGAGCCUUGAUGUGUAGGAUAGGUGGGAGGCUUUGAAGCGUGGACGCCAGUCUGCGUGGAGCCAACCUUGAAAUACCACCCUUUAAUGUUUGAUGUUCUAACGUUGGCCCCUUACCGGGGUUGCGGACAGUGUCUGGUGGGUAGUUUGACUGGGGCGGUCUCCUCCCAAAGCGUAACGGAGGAGCACGAAGGUUAGCUAAUCCUGGUCGGACAUCAGGAGGUUAGUGCAAUGGCAUAAGCUAGCUUGACUGCGAGCGUGACGGCGCGAGCAGGUGCGAAAGCAGGUCAUAGUGAUCCGGUGGUUCUGAAUGGAAGGGCCAUCGCUCAACGGAUAAAAGGUACUCCGGGGAUAACAGGCUGAUACCGCCCAAGAGUUCAUAUCGACGGCGGUGUUUGGCACCUCGAUGUCGGCUCAUCACAUCCUGGGGCUGAAGUAGGUCCCAAGGGUAUGGCUGUUCGCCAUUUAAAGUGGUACGCGAGCUGGGUUUAGAACGUCGUGAGACAGUUCGGUCCCUAUCUGCCGUGGGCGCUGGAGAAUUGAGGGGGGCUGCUCCUAGUACGAGAGGACCGGAGUGGACGCAUCACUGGUGUUCGGGUUGUCAUGCCAAUGGCACUGCCCGGUAGCUAAAUGCGGAAGAGAUAAGUGCUGAAAGCAUCUAAGCACGAAACUUGCCCCGAGAUGAGUUCUCCCUGAGACUUUAAGUCUCCUGAAGGAACGUUAAAGACGAUGACGUUGAUAGGCCGGGUGUGUAAGCGCAGCGAUGCGUUGAGCUAACCGGUACUAAUGAACCGUGAGGCUUAACCUU
rnacentral:rRNA from 1 species